GAUGAAGAACGCAGCGAAAUGCGAUAAGUAGUGUGAAUUGCAGAAUUCAGUGAAUCAUCGAAUCUUUGAACGCACAUUGCGCCCUUUGGUAUUCCUUAGGGCAUGCCUGUUCGAGCAUCAUUUAAACCUUCAAGCUAAGCUUGGUGUUGGGUGACUGUCCGCCUCACGGCGGACUCGCCUCAAAAUUAUUGGCGGCCGGUACAUUGGCUUCGAGCGCAGCAGAAACGCGAACUCGGGCCCGUCGUAUUGGCUCCCAGAAGCUAUCUUCACAAUUUUGACCUCGGAUCAGGUAGGGAUACACGCUGAACUUAAGCAUAUCAAUAAGCGGAGGA
rnacentral:misc_RNA from 1 species